UACGUAGGCAGCAAGCGUUGUUCGGAGUUACUGGGCGUAAAGGGUGUGUAGGCGGCCUUCUAAGUUUGGUGUGAAAUCUCACGGCUCAACCGGGAGGGUGCGCCGAAGACUGGGGGGCUAGAGUGCGGGAUGGGAGAGUAGAAUUCCUGGUGUUGCGGUGAAAUGCGUAGAUAUCAGGAGGAAUACCUGUGGUGUAGACGGCUCUCUGGACCGCAACUGACGCUGAGACACGAAAGCGUGGGUAGCAAACAGG
rnacentral:rRNA from 1 species